UUCAAAUGCUACCGUGACAUUUAUAGGACUACAGAUGAAAAUAGAAAGUCUGCAGGCAUGGCUUGCAUGUGAGAAGAGAAAAUCGCUCACUCAGGAAUCUGCCCUUCUCUGUUCUGCAGAGACUUUCUAAGACAUGCGCACACAGGCUGGACUGAACUCCCUCGUCUCCAGGCAUCUGAAAGGAGACGCUAGCUCUGCUGUCUAGAUGAAAACAGCCUCGGAGUGGCACAUCUUCUCCAUGUGGGCUCCAGGAGAAACGUUACAAUGUUCAUUGUUUGCAGCUAUCCUGAGGCUUUGGAGGGGCCAUGGAGAAACAGGAAUCUGAAAACAAGCCUUGUGUGGUUCCAUCUACACAACCAAAGAUGACAACACUCCAGUUGUCCAUGAACCCAGUUCCAAAGACCAUCAAACUCUGGAAGAUGACCACCGUGGAUUGUUAUUCAACUACACAAAGGAAAGCACCUCUGAUGUGUCUUUCGACAUGAAUGAACCUGGAAAACAUGUUGUGAACAAUAUACCAAGCAAAAAGGAAAAGUACUAUAUAAAUGAACUACACGAAAUGUUUAGAAUAGGAAAAUUUAUAAAGACAAACAGUAGAUUUGAGGUUUUCAGGAGCUGAAGGACAGGGAAGUCAUUGCUUGAAGGGUUUGUGUUUUGUUUUGUUUUUUUAAUUUGUGAUGAUAUCGUUAGUACUGCCAAAUCACAUACUUAAAUAUUGUUUGGGUGAAAAAUUUUGCUUUAGCAUAAUCAAAUUUAUAUACAAAAAAGAAUAUAAAUAAUACCCAAACCAAUAUAUGCUACCACAGUGGCUCUCAACCUUCCUGAUGCUGUGACCCUUUAAUAUAGUUCCUUAUGUUGUGGUGACCCCCAAACCAUAAAUUUUUUUCAUUGCGAUUUCAUAAAUGUAAUUUUGCUCUUGUUAUGAAUUGUACUAGAAAUAUCUGAUAUUUCUGAUGGUCUUAGGCAACCCCUGUGAAAGGGUGCUUUGACCCCCAAGGAGUCAAGACCCAUAGGUUGAGAACCACUGUGCAAAUGUAAGCUUUGUGGUCAAUGUUUGUGUCUUUCCCAUGAACUCCCAUGUCGAAAUCCUGACCUCCAAACUGAUCGUGAGGAGGUGGGGUCUUUGGUGGGUGGUUAGGUCACAAGGUAUAUUAGUUACUUUUCUGCUGCUGUGGUAAAACACGUGAUCAAGGCUACCCAUAGCCAUCUAGAGCCCACCCGGAUAUCCAGACAGUUCUGUCUAUAACUCACCGCACCUGACUCUAGAGUCCCAGGUAUCCAAUGCCACUUUAAGAAUUCGUACAGGUAAGCCAACGCCCUGCUUCAGCUACCGACUGCAUUUCUCCUGGUUACUGGCAGCAACAUGGCGAAGCAUCUACUACCUGAGGAUGAGGCCUAGCAGGGUUAGCUAGCGACUGUGGAAGUCCGCAGUCAUAGACUUACGCUUGGGCAAUGGGAAGACAGGGGACACCGAGUGUGUUACGCCCACACACUAGGGAACGUUUUGCGCAACCUCGACAGCGCUUUUCCAGCUGAGUAUUCCCAGAGGCUGUGUGUGGGAAUCACUGUCUGCCACUGAGCAGCGGGAAACAGCUUCCUCCUUGUGGGAGCUUGAACUCCGGGUUUGCCGGUUGAUUGCUGGUGAUCUUUAAGACCACACUUAAACGUUUGCAUUCCUUAAUCGUUUUCCCCCCCAUCCGCAAGCUUUGACUGAGCAUGUUCUAUAAGCCAGGCACCGAGGGCUUUGAUCUAUCAGUGCUCGGGGAGGAAAGGGACAGAAAGCACAUCAACCGGAAGAGAGUUUUAUAACCUCAGCUCCUCAGCUGCAGGCAAUCUAAUAAAUAGACACGGGUGAUACGGCAGCAAGACGAGUAGGCUUCCCAGAAUUGUCACUUCCAUUUCUCUUCCAACACCGGUUGCUAUAGAACAGGGUUGGCAAACCACAGCCUGUGGCCAAAGCUUGACUCACAAACAAAUCCAGCUCAAGGCCAAUCUCGGUUCACUGUCUUUUUAUUUAAUAAAUAAGGUUGCAUUAAAAUGCAGCUGCACCCAUUUGUUUGUGUGUGAUCUGCGUUCGUUUUCACGCCCUAACAUGGCGGAGAUGGACAGUUGAACAGCAACUGCACGGCUCUCAAACCCUAAAAUAUUUAAUUUUUGGCUCUGUGUGAAAAACAUUUUCACCAACUCAUGAUACGAACUCGCGUCCAAGGACAAAGGAUCCCAGCUGCGCGGAAAGAGCCAGAAGUACACCUUUGAGAGUAGGGAUGAUUAGGCAGGAGACGCUGGGCUCAUGCGAAUAGUGGGUCAUUUGGAGGCUGAGCCUUG